GAUUUGUCAAAGCAUAUCUUUGAGUUUGAUGAUGAAUUUAUCUUCAGCCUAAAGGAGUCCGAUGAACCAUUGGCUGUUGUUAGUCCAGAGGAACCCACACAGCCACUUCAUACAUCAACACCAAAGAAACCCAUACAUACAAGUAAAACAGGAAAAGGCAGACCAGUUCGGAGGUUAUUAAAGCUUAAGAAAACAGGGGAAGUGCAACGUCUACAGCCAUGUAGGAGAUGAAGUUUUCAUAGCAAUGUAUCCCAGAGCCAGAUCAUCAGGGCUAGAGAAAAAGUAUAGACGAAGGAUUUCAACUAUAGAGUUGACUGGAUGUUGGAAAAGUUUGAAGAAUCCCCGAAUUGUUUUGGUUAUGUUACCAAACCUUUCAAGAUUUAGUUGGUAAUAUUCCCAGAAAUAUAUUUAACUCUGUCAAUAAAUGUGAGCUGGUUAAGCUCUGCGAUUAUGUUAAAGAAUCAGUAUGUA